GACAGGCUAAGAGUCCUUGUGAGCAAAUUGCGUGUCCCACCCCGCUAGAUAAAACAAGUAUGACUUGUUCGAGUUGUCCAUUCCAAAUCACAUAACACAGGGUCUGAAUUGAGCUUGAUCGUUUCGGAUGAUCCUUGAUGUGCAGAACAUAGGUAUCAUGCUUCUGAAGACUUUCUCGGCCACUUUGUACCACCACGCCAAUAUAGUAUGAGACAUUACCUGCUUGUGUUUGUUUUGUUUGUCUUAGAGGCUUUCAUACUAGGGUCGGGACAUCAACGUCACUGGUUUCUGGGAUCAAUCUGGAGAAGCGACUUCUCCUCUCAUCGCAUUACCAUAUAUUGCCAUAUAACCACUUCCUGUUUUCCGCCAUCAUAUACUCAAAUAGUAACAUCCGUAAUCUAAAUAUUAUAGUUAUAUUUACCACCCCACGGUCAGUGGUGAACCAUCUCCAUCGCACGCCAUGGCAGACCAAGGCUCCAGUAACAUUAGCGAUCAGAUAAAGAGCGCCACCCAACCAGGAGAUUCCAAGACUACAACCCAACCGCUUUCCGAGACGGUGCAGCAGGGUGCUGAGACUGCGAAAAAGAGUGCCCACCCAGGGAUGGAAACAACAAAGGAUGCCGCAACCAAGGCAUCAGAAGCUGCCUUGGGAGCACUUGGUAGCGGAGACAAAAAAUAAUUGGACCUAGGGACGCUCCAAAGGAUGCCACAUGGUGUGGGUAUGGAUGGUUCAGUUCUAAGAAGCAGGAAUGAUUUUCUUGUGUCCUUUUUGGGAGGGCCGCAGCUGGUGUAUGCCGCCGUUCGCACCGCUCGAAUAAUUCAGUGUUCGAGACCAGCGUGGGAAAAUAAGGCAGUAAGUAAUAUUUACUUUCGGUCUGCGAUGCGGGUUUCAGAAAGCCAUGCGCGAAGAUGUGUCUUCUAUUGCCUUAUGUUGGGGUAUCACAAUUGAAUUGGGGUGACCCGAGAUGUACCAUGAAUUUAUAGUUAUUAAGCUCGUAAUUCCGUUGAACCGCAUCCUUUCCUUCAUAUGUGAAUAUCUCCAUCCGUUCGGCAUAUCCAUCGCAUUAAUAUCUCAGAAAAAGCGCUGGAGAAUAUGGCCUCGCAAAGCUAGCAUUAGCAACUUCGUGAGCUUGGUUAUAAGGGGUGAGGCCAUAAUCAGGCGAGGGAAGUGGUUGAAUGCUGCGUCUUUCUCCUUUAUUUUAAAUGGUAUAUGAGGCAAGGGGCGACGCCGAAUACAUGUAAUUCACACCUUUAAAAGGCUUGCGAGCGGGGUAUCAAACAUCAAAACAAGACUGCGUCUUGCAUCUCCACGCGCCUGCCAGGAAGAAAGGAGAUCUACUCCUCACGUUAUCUGCUCCGCCAACCUCCCAGAGCCAGAUCCAUGUCUUCUCACGUAAUUAUUCUUUUCACCUACUAAACCCUCCCUUGCCACCAGACCCGCCAGAAGCACUCAAGAGAUCAUGCACAACACAGAGCAAAAACUUCCGAUCCGGAAUAAUUAUAAUUUCAUGAAUCUUCGUGCGCAACCGGAGGAGCUUCAACUCAUCAUCCUCUUCGCGUUCAUGGCUUCCCUCGCUCUCUCUGCUAUCAUGCCUCGCAUGUCCGUUGCUGGUCGCGCCGCCUCCUGCCGCCGCCACAAUUAUUCCAGAUCCACCAUAAUCAGUCUCAUUACCGCCGCCGCCGCCGCUCCUCUCACUUGGUGAUUCUGAUGGUAGUGGCUUCGAUAACGACGCGCCCAGAGCGGAGGCGGAGGAAACAAAUGCAAAUAUGUGUGCGGCUAGCGUUUCCGCUUGGCUGGGUUUGUAGGGUGCGGCUUGUGGUUGUGGUUGUAGCUGUUCCUGUUGCUCUUGUAUUUGCUUUUGCGCAGCUUCUGCUCGUCUCUCAUCUGUGCUCGUUGUCUCUGGGUGAGUCACUUGCUCGUCUGGAGUUUGGGAAGUGGGAGAAGUGGAAUCGGGUAUCGACGCUGGCAUUGGAGGUGAGGCUGGAGCUGGAGCUGGAGCUGGAUCUGGAGCUUGACGGAUGGGAGAUGGACUUGAACGUGUGGCAAGGAGACCAGUUGUUCGUAUUAUAGAUCCAUCUUUCCGUGAUAGGAUGAGGGUGGAUUGGACACCGGGCCGGGAUGUGAGACUCGACAGAUGGGCAGAAACAUGCCGCGGAAGUUGAGGGGAUGUUGCCAUUGGGACUAUUCCUAAGGAGCGAGGAUGUUUUAAGUGGAAGGUUGAGAGGGAAAUUUCGGGUAGUGGGCAAAUAACACUGACAAUACGUCCACUUCUAGUAAGAAAAACGAUUUUAUAAAUUAACCUAGAAUGUUAACAAAGCUUAAGUUUAAGGAGU
rnacentral:sRNA from 1 species